CCUACGAGAUGCAGCAGUGGGGAAUAUUGGGCAAUGGAGGCAACUCUGACACAGCAAUGCCGCGUGAAUGAAGAAGGACUUCGGAUGGUAAAGAUCUUUAAUCAGGGACGAAGAAAAUGACGAUACCUGAGGAAUAAGCCACGGCAAACUAUGUGCCAGCAACAGCGGUAAUACAUCGGUUGCAGUCGAUGGCCGGAAGGACUGGGCGUAGAGGGAGCGGAGGAGGUCUGUUAAGUUGGAAGUGAAAUCCCGGGGCUCAACCCCGGAACUGCUUUCAAGACUGACGGACUUGAGUGUAAGAGGGGUAAGCGGAAUUCCUAGUGUAGCGGUGGAAUGCGUAGAUAUUAGGAGGAACACCAGUGGCGAAGGCGGCUUACUGGAUUAUAACUGCCGCUGAGGCUCGACAGCGUGGGUAGCAAACAGGAUUAGAUACCCCAGUAGUC
rnacentral:rRNA from 1 species